GUUAAAAAACUUUUAUUGUUUCCUUUUCAACCAGCCUCUUUCAGAUUUGACGUUGUGUUCUUCAGAUUGUCAAAGGUCCAACAAGACAUACUUCAAGAGAUGAAGAUCUACCUAAUAACAGGAGUUUUCAGUUCUGGCGACUUCUGUAUUUUCAUCAUUUGUUGAUCAUCUGAUGUUUUAUUUUAUCUUAUUUUGAAUACCAGAUUCUUCUAAUUUUACCUUGACUGUCACGGUCUGAGGUGUGUUCCUGCCGGCACUCCCUGUCUCUGAGUUUUCCCUCUGCAGGUGGGCGUGUCUGGAGGUUGACCAAGCUGCAGCAGAUCUGCUCAUCAGCCGGCCAGGUGUAUUUAAGCAGCUGAGAGACUUCUACGCCUCGCUGGAUGAUUUCGCUACCUGGACAAGACCUCCACCCCAUCUCUGACUGGCAGAAUUCUGGAACCUCUACACCUGCUUGUCUCUCAGUUCCUCCCUGGCCAAAGUCACCUCCAGCUGCCCACCUAAACUUCCUGGACCUCCACAAGCUCAGCUCCCUCCACGUCUCACCUCUUGGAUCUCAGUCCCAGGAAAGCCCUCUCAGCCCAGACUGGACCACUCCUCCCUCGAACUAGUUCCCUCCUCUCCAGACUAUUUCCCGCACCGGCUCCCUUGUGCAAGAACUCGGCUACGUUUAUGCUGCUUCCUUGGUUUCCCUUUUAAUAAAUUCUUAUUUAAACACUUUA